AGCUGUUACCAUAGUAGCUGCAUGAAU
rnacentral:snRNA from 1 species